UUGAACCAUUCCUCAUAACACAGAAACACAUUUAAGCAAAGCCAAGUGAUACCAUCACUGUAUCUGAUAGUAUAUAUUACAUUCCCCAUCUGUGGUCCCCAUCUCUCUACUAAGAGGAAGAAGGUAUGUUUCAUCACCUGUUCUCUAGAACUGAAUAUGUUCAUCAAAAUUCAUCAGAGAUUCACUGCUUUAUUGUGCUGUCAUAGUUUACAUUAUUAUGCCAUUGUGUGUUGUUUUCUUCUUUUAUUUCCUUCUUCAGAAUUCCAGAUCAUUAACAUCUUUCUAUGUGUUUGUCUGAAUUCCUCAUUCAUUGUUUCUUAUGAUACAAAACUAUUCUACAAUAUUAAUAGAGAAGACCUUUCUAGGCAUUCCUCAUUUGAAAGAUAAAGAAAUUGUAGCCCUGUGUGGCUGUCUGACUCGCCUUAGAUCAUGGAGUCAAUGAUUGACUGAGCCAAGUUUAGAGCCCAGGUCUCCCGAUUGGAUGAUGAAUCAAGUCCUUUUUGAUUUCUCAUUUUCAUGUCUUUUAUUUAGGUCUUGGUAUAUGGGCUUAUUUAAAAUGAGACUUAUUCCCUCCUCCCCCUGUACUUAAUCUUCAAUUGACAACACCCAGGAAUGUUAUAGCCAAAUUAAAAUUAAAGAAAGUCACACAACCA
rnacentral:lncRNA from 1 species